GCCGGGGGGGCUACCAUGCAGUCGAGGGGUAUAAGGAGCUUGCUCCUUAGAGACCGGCGCACGGGUGCGUAACGCGUAUGCAAUCUACCUUAUGCAGGGGAAUAGCCCGAAGAAAUUUGGAUUAAUGCCCCAUGGUAUAUAGAAUGGGCAUCUGUUUUAUAUUAAAGCUGAGGCGGCAUAAGAUGAGCAUGCGUCCCAUUAGCUAGUUGGUAUGGUAACGGCAUACCAAGGCAACGAUGGGUAGGGGUCCUGAGAGGGAGAUCCCCCACACUGGUACUGAGACACGGACCAGACUCCUACGGGAGGCAGCAGUGAGGAAUAUUGGACAAUGGUCGGGAGACUGAUCCAGCCAUGCCGCGUGCAGGAAGACUGCCCUAUGGGUUGUAAACUGCUUUUCUACGAGAAGAAUAAGAGGUACGUGUACCUUGAUGACGGUAUCGUAGGAAUAAGCACCGGCUAACUCCGUGCCAGCAGCCGCGGUAAUACGGAGGGUGCAAGCGUUAUCCGGAAUCAUUGGGUUUAAAGGGUCCGUAGGCGGGCUGUUAAGUCAGGGGUGAAAGUUUGCCGCUUAACGGUAAAAUUGCCUUUGAUACUGGCGGUCUUGAAUGUGUGUGAAGUGAUUAGAAUAUGUAGUGUAGCGGUGAAAUGCAUAGAUAUUACAUAGAAUACCGAUUGCGAAGGCAGGUCACUAACACAUUAUUGACGCUGAUGGACGAAAGCGUGGGUAGCGAACAGGAUUAGAUACCCUGGUAGUCCACGCCGUAAACGAUGGAUACUAGCUGUUGGGGUGCAAACCUCAGUGGCUAAGCGAAAGUG
rnacentral:rRNA from 1 species